UCAGCUCAAAAGUGAACUAAAGCGGUCCUUAACCUUUCUUCUCUCGCUCUGCUGUGAGUACCUUGAGGACAGAGUUCCCUUUGAACCCACGCGAGCACAGAGUAGGCAUUCGGCUAGAUCUCAGCUGACUGGAGCAAGAGAGACUCUCCUGCUUGCCUUGAAGAAGCCACCUGCUAUGAUACGACCUUUAGGGCCAGCGGUCUCACGUCCUAUAGGUGCAAGGAGCUGAAAUCUGCCGACAACCUGAAUGAGCUUGGAAGCAGAUCUUUCCCCAGUAAAACUUCUGAUGAGGCCUUAGCCCCAGGAAGUAUCUGGAUUGCAGCCUGGUUGUGACCCUAAGCAGAAAACCCAGUGUCCAAGUUAUGAGAGAGCCACAUGUCUAGGAACUGAGGGCAGCCUUUAGGAGUUGAGAGCCAGCAAGAAAACGAUAACUCCAGUCAUCCAACCACAAGGAACCAAUUCUGCUAAGGAACCUGAAUGAGCCUGGAAGGGGACCCCAAACCUCAGAUGAGAUCACAUCCCUGCAGACACCUUGAUUCAAGGGCUUCCCUGGUGGCACAGUGGUUAAGAAUCCGCCUGCCAGUGCAG